rnacentral:rRNA from 1 species
AGAAAGAUAGAGUUGAUCCUGGGCUCAGAGCGAACGUUGCCAGUGUGUCNUAAGCAUGCAAGUCGAACGGCAGCAGGCCAUAUAGCAAUAUAUGGUGCUGGCGAGUGGCGAACUGGUGAGUAACACGUAAGAAUCUACCCUCUGGUGGGGGAUAACUCAUGGAAACAUGAGCUAAUACCGCAUGAAGCCGAAAGGUAAAAGGAGAAAUCCGCCAGUGGAUGAGCUUGCGUCCCAUUAGCUAGUUGGCAGGUUAAAGGCCUACCAAGGCUAUGAUGGGUAGCUGGCCUGAGAGGGUGGUCAGCCACACUGGGACUGAGAUACGGCCCAGACUCCUACGGGAGGCAGCAGCUAAGAAUCUUCCUCAAUGGGGGAAACCCUGAAGGAGCGACACUGCGUGCAGGAUGAAGGCCCUUUGGGUUGUAAACUGCUUUUGUAGGGGAGAAAUAACCGCAAGGGAUGAUAGUACCCUACGAAUAAGUCCCGGCUAACUACGUGCCAGCAGCCGCGGUAAAACGUAAGGGGCGAACGUUGCUCGGAAUUACUGGGCGUAAAGGGCCGGUAGGUGGCUUUAUAAGUCAGUUGUCAAAUACCUAUGCUCAACGUAGGAGAGGCGACUGAUACUGUAGAGCUUGAGUAGAGGAAGGGAUGACGGAAUACCCGGUGUAGGGGUGAAAUCUGUUGAUAUCGGGUAGAACACCGAUGGCGAAAGCGGUCAUCUAGCCUCAUACUGACACUCAACGGCGAAAGCCAGGGGAGCGAACGGGAUUAGAUACCCCGGUAGUCCUGGCCAUAAACGAUGCAUGCUAGGUAUUGGCACCGCGUUGGUGAUAGUACCGUAGCUUACGCGUUAAGCAUGCCGCCUGGGGAGUAUGCUCGCAAGAGUGAAACUCAAAGGAAUUGACGG